UACGUAGGGGGCAAGCGUUGUCCGGAAUCAUUGGGCGUAAAGCGCGUGUAGGCGGUUCGAUAAGUCUGCUGUGAAAGUCCAGGGCUCAACCCUGGGAUGCCGGUGGAUACUGUCGAGCUAGAGUACAGAAGGGGCAACUGGAAUUCUCGGUGUAGCGGUGAAAUGCGUAGAUAUCGAGAGGAACACCUGCGGCGAAGGCGGGUUGCUGGGCUGAUACUGACGCUGAGGCGCGAAAGCUAGGGGAGCGAACGGG
rnacentral:rRNA from 1 species